rnacentral:misc_RNA from 1 species
AGGGCGAAAAAAAAAAAGACAGGUUCACUAAGACAGACCUACAUAUUAGUCUACCUUUUAAAAACAAAAAACUAAAAGAGAGAGAAAUAAUUAGAAAAUAAAUACACAAAUCAUCAGAACAAGCUUCACAUUUCAUCAUGAUCCAGCACAACCAAACUCUAUUGGAUAUCAUUUCUUUUGACAUUUUAAAUGUAUCCUUAACAUCUGCAAUCUUAGAAGAAAUAUUUUGUCAAGGUAUUACUGGUAGCAUAAUUGUAUAUGUAUGU